rnacentral:rRNA from 1 species
AACGAACGCUGGCGGCAUGCCUAACACAUGCAAGUCGAACGAGACCUCCGGGUCUAGUGGCGCACGGGUGCGUAACGCGUGGGAACCUGCCCUUAGGUUCGGAAUAACUCCCCGAAAGGGGUGCUAAUACCGGAUAAUGUCUUCGGACCAAAGAUUUAUCGCCCUUGGAUGGGCCCGCGUUGGAUUAGCUAGUUGGUAGGGUAAAAGCCUACCAAGGCGACGAUCCAUAGCUGGUCUGAGAGGAUGAUCAGCCACACUGGGACUGAGACACGGCCCAGACUCCUACGGGAGGCAGCAGUGGGGAAUAUUGGACAAUGGGCGAAGGCCUGAUCCAGCAAUGCCGCGUGAGUGAUGAAGGCCUUAGGGUUGUAAAGCUCUUUUACCCGGGAUGAUAAUGACAGUACCGGGAGAAUAAGCUCCGGCUAACUCCGUG